UUCAACAUUAUUUUUUCGCUUUAGGUUGUGAUAGAUGUGAAAAAGAAUUACAAACAUAGAAACAUAGAAAAGCUUUAAAAUAAUCUGAAAAUUGUAAGCAAAAACGUAAAGUUCUUCUGAAAACUAAAAAAAUGGAUUUCUUAGUUCUGUUUGUCAUUUAUCAUCUAUUAUUUGCAGUAUAUGGAUUUAAGAUGAAGGUGAUGGUGACGGCAACGAAGGUGGCAGCGGACGUGAUGGCGAUGGCAACGGAGGUGAUAAUGAUGGGUCGGACGGCGGCAACAAUUGGGUUAAUGUUGAAUUCUAAAAAAAAUUAACUUUAUAAAUGCACGUAUUUAUAUAAUUAAAAUAAAUUAGUUGUUUACC